rnacentral:rRNA from 1 species
UACGAAGGGGGCUAGCGUUGUUCGGAAUUACUGGGCGUAAAGCGUAUGUAGGCGGAUCGUUAAGUCGGGGGUGAAAUCCCGAGGCUCAACCUCGGAACUGCCUUCGAUACUGGCGAUCUUCGAGUCCGGGAGAGGUGAGUGGAACUCCGAGUGUAGAGGUGAAAUUCGUAGAUAUUCGGAAGAGCACCAGUGGCGAAGGCGGCUCACUGGCCCGGUACUGACGCUGAAAUACGAAAGCGUGGGGAGCAAACAGG